GGCUCUAUGCAUACUUAGGAAGAAUACAAUUUUCUGGAUACCAAAUUGUAUUUAUGACUUUGUCUCCCACACUUAAUUUUAUUCAUUUUCCAAAUCAUCGUUUUUUCCCAAUUUCAAACAAAAAAAAUAAAAUCAGAUCUUCCUUCUUCUCAACUUCCCAUUAAUCUUUCGUUUCAGUGUGUUUGAUCUUUAAAUGUAGGUCGAACAUAAGGUGCUAUUCUUCUUCAUCUCUCCCCCUUUUUUGUGUCAUACAUUAUCCCAGAAUCAUGGCUGCUUCUUCUCUCUUUCUCCACCAAAGCCUCCCUCACGAGUCACGAUCUCCGAUCUCUUCUAUGCAGUGGUGUACGUUUGAUCUUUAAAUGUAGGUCGGGUGGUCUCGGCGGUGGAGACAACAAGCGGUGGACUGGUGAACGGUGAUUAAACAGGAACUCACAUUAACAGAAACCCAAAAACACCAUCCUUUCAUCACUCAGCUUCUUCUUCAUUGCUCCGCUCCGAUCGAGAAUCUCACCGUCUAUUCAACCUUCUCGCUUAGCUUCUUCUGUGACCUUACGCGUGAGAACAGGAAACAACAACCAAAUGUUGAAGACAUAAGCUACAAAAGGUUAAGAUUCACAACAUUUUGGAGGCAACAUCUUGCACCUAGAGCUUCAGCCAGCAGAGGAUCUACUUCAAUAUAUGCUCCAACUUACAAAAAGAAAAUUCAGCAGUACCAGUUCUGUCAUAAGUGGCCAUUCCCCGCCUUAUCGACCCUCUGUGAAGUUGCCAGCAUCCACAGAAAUAUUUUAAAUUGAUGCACUUUCAUGCACAAUGUUGGGAGUUGCUUAAGCAUUUGGCCCUGAUUAUAUAACCAAAGAACUUUGUUUGGAGUAAACUCAGCCUCAUUGUGCUUUCCACUCAAUUAUUGAAAUUUAAACAAGAUGUGGAACUUUAUGCCAAAAUAACUUUGUUUUAUUGUUGAGGUGGUCCUUUGGAGAUGCUAAUUUUAUAGAAAAUUAUGUUUCUUUUGUUGAAGGUCUUGGUUUAAUUUACUUGAUACCAUUUAAUUACUUGAUACCAAUCACUAUUGCUUUUGGCUUAUUAUAUUGUGUUUUGCUAUUUAUAUAUAUGGUACUGUCAACAUAUAUACAAAAGAAAUAAGAUUUUAUGCUACUGCUUUUUCGAAAUAAAUUACUUUGAUGCUAAUAUUUUAUGCUACAGUGAUUGGUUCUAAAAGUUUGAUGUUUAUUUUGAACAGAAAAUGGCGAAGUUACCGGCAUCCUUUACAUAAUAAUUUACUUUAAGGAAGACUUGAAGAUACCGGUAACCGAUGAGGAAUGUGAAGAUAUAGAUGUUACAAUCAAAUGUAGUUUAUUUUUUAUUAGAAUGUUCUCUUUUUUUUUAAGUACUACAAAGAGGGUCAAAGGACCAUGAUUAUAAUGUUGUUUAGUUGACUACUAUAAUGUAUAAAAUUUUCAUUGUAAGAGUGAAGGAUGUAAUUAUCUUGCAAUAUCUAGAGCUACAUCAAAGAAUGGUCUGAAGAUUCUAAUGACCAAUGAGAAUGGUGUUAGCAUGGAUAACACUUCGAAUGUUGUUUACAAAGAAAUUUUUCGUAAUUUACA